rnacentral:rRNA from 1 species
AUUGAACGCUGGCGGAAUGCUUUACACAUGCAAGUCGAACGGCAGCACGGGUGCUUGCACCUGGUGGCGAGUGGCGAACGGGUGAGUAAUACAUCGGAACGUACCCAGUUGUGGGGGAUAACUAACCGAAAGGUUAGCUAAUACCGCAUACGACCUGAGGGUGGAAGCGGGGGACCGUAAGGCCUCGCGCAAUUGGAGCGGCCGAUGUCUGAUUAGCUAGUUGGUGAGGUAAAGGCUCACCAAGGCGACGAUCAGUAGCUGGUCUGAGAGGAUGAUCAGCCGCACUGGAACUGAGAUACGGUCCAGACUCCUACGGGAGGCAGCAGUGGGGAAUUUUGGACAAUGGGGGAAACCCUGAUCCAGCCAUUCCGCGUGAGUGAAGAAGGCCUUCGGGUUGUAAAGCUCUUUCGGCAGGGAAGAAACGCUCUGGCUUAAUACGCCGGGGUAAUGACGGUACCUGAAGAAGAAGCACCGGCUAACUUCGUGCCAGCCGCCGCCGUAAAAC